CCUCCUUGGCACGGCCUGUGCACCCCUGACACCGCCUGCGCCUUUCUGCACGCCGGCGCCUCCCUGGGUUUUCGGCGACAGCGAAGGAGUGUGUGGCUGCAGCCGCGCCCCCAGCCUGUGGGCAGCCGCACCACCGCCCUUAAGUGCGUGUCUCCGGUAAGGCAUUUAGCUAGAAGGGGCUUCUGUUCCCCACUUCAAGCCACCACUUUCAAAUCCCUCGAAAAAUCAACCACAGCAACCACUUAAAAAUGAAAAAAAUAACUCUGAUAAAGUACAAUUUCCUUCCUUUCGAUUUAUGUCUGGAUAGAAGGCCAACGCUGUCAGAGCACACCCUGUGCCGGUCACAUAAGCUGCUGCAGGAGGCUCCUGUGUCGGGGGUCCCCAUUCUUCACCCUCCGCAGAUGCAUCCCCUUCUCCACGUGGAGACUCCUCAGUUCCUUCCAUUGAAGAGACAGCACUGCCUCUCUGGACCCUUGACUCUGAGUCAGGCCAUGUGACUUGUUCUGGUCAAUGGGAUGCCUGCUGCUGUGACACCUGAGGAGGCUCAGGACAGACUUGUGUUUUUCUGUGCCACUGUUACGAGCGUGUGCCUGGGCUCUGGCUGAGGGAUGAGGUGUGAGGCGAAUCAUUCCAGAUGGGGCCACCCUGGACCAUCCAGCAGCAGCUUCUCUGGACAGGUGCCUUCGUUUGCAAGAUGGUGCCAUUUGUCCAGGCUACGGCCAUCGUGGCAGAAAUUCUCACCAUGACCCGCAUUGCUGUGGAAACUUGUGCAUCCUUUUAAGACGAAGCGGCAAUACACCCACCGAAGGGCGUUCACGACGCUGGGUGUGGUCUGGUUGGUGGCAGUCAUCGUGGGAUCACCCAUGUGGUACGUGCAACAACUUGAGGUAGAUGUAGACUCGAGACUGGGAUCGAUAAUCUUAUUGUUCAACUAUUUUCUCCUCCUAACAAUAAACAUUUUCCUUCCUGCAAGAGUA